CGCGAAGAACCUUACCCGGACUUGACAUGCAGGUGGUACUGAGGCGAAAGCCAAGGACCGCAAGGGAGGCAGCCGACCACGGUAGGGUCAGCGACUGGGGUG
rnacentral:rRNA from 1 species